CAAUGAUUUCUCUUAUUCUGAUGCUGUGGACACUUGCUCAAGUGUCUCACGAAGAGGUUCAGUCUCCUGAAUCUCUGUCUGUUAAAGCAGGAGAUUCUGUCUCUAUCAGCUGCACUGGGACCAGCGGAGUUGGUAAUGACAUGAGCUGGUAUCUGCAGAAACCUGGAGAAGCUCCUAAACUCCUGAUCUACACAGCCAGUCGACUUGAAUCUGGAGUCCCAGAUCGGUUCAGUGGAAGUGGAUCUGAACCUGAUUUCACACUGAACAUACGUGGAGUCCAGCUUGAGGAUGCAGGAGUUUAUUACUGUAUGGGGGUUUAUGAAGGCCCAGUGUUCACACAGUGAAAC